CUCUUCGGGGCGAGCCGGGUGGCGCUGGAGCCGCGCCCUGCUGAGCGAGCGAGCCGGCCGGGGACGGUUUCGGGUCGGGACUCCGGCUUCGGGAACGGGCCUCUGGAAACCUGCGACGUCAGUCCUUACCCGCCCGCGGCUGCCGCGGACCGUCCCACCCCCAAACCCGUAGAAGCCCCUCCGACCUGCAACCUCCAGCCGCCCGGCCCUAGGACUUGAGCGGCUCCCUGGCCGGUGCGGAACCUGCGGGCUAAUAAUCUAGCGACCGGGAGAACGCCAAACAUCCCUGGACUAGAAGUUGCAGGGGAAAUCAAACAGCCCAGAAAGUUUAUUCUCCUUGCUGGUAUUUCUUCCACUUGCUAUUUUGCUGAGAGAUGCAUGCAAACUACCCUUAGACUUUCAGAUGCAGUGCGUUUUACUUAGCCGUGCCUGACAAACACACAGAACUUUUACCGUCUGGUAGAUCCGCCUUGACUUUACCAGCGAAUACUAAAGUCACUUAAAAAAAAAUCACAAGGCUCGAAAACAGCAGCAUUAGAAGUAGACUUUAUGGUACUCUGCUCAGCUAUGUUCUCAUUUGAUUCCAACCACUACACGGCAGAAAAGACUGAUGAGCUUCUCUGUGCAAGGGUGCCUUUUUGGAGCAAUGUCCCCAUUCGGUCCAUUGAUAUGAACCACUUCAUUGAAUGUCUUAGACGAUGUGCCUGCUUCCCCUUCCGCUAUGAUUGUAAGUUUCCUGAGGCCUCCUCAGCCAUGCAGAACUGUGAGUCAAUUAAACUUCUUUCCUUUAUAAAUUACCCAGUCUUGGGUAUUUCUUUACAGCAGUGUGAGAACAGACUUAUACACUCACCCACACACAGUUGAAAACACCUGCAUUUGAAAAACAAACAAACAAACAACAACAAAAAAAGCAAAAAAAGUUUUGUUUCCAAAAUGUAUUACAAGUAUUUUCCAUGUGAACAUGGUGCGGAAUGGCACAACUGGACUUGGGGUAGUGCAUUACUCUCUACUGCAUAUUCAUCCAAGCUGGUUAAAGGCUUUCUGUGUGAACUUCUUUUCUUCUAGGAAAAAAGGAGUCUGAAAAUUUUUAAUUAACCAUUCAGGUUUCUAGAGCUCUGAAACAGUUGUUAGCUCACUAAAUAUUAGUAUUAUUCUAAAAUGUUUUUCAACUAAAGUCUGCAUUUUCUGUGUUUCCAUUCCUUUUUUCCCUCACUCUGUGGCUUCACUUGCUAUAUUGCUUUCAAGUUUGGCGAGAAUGGAUCCUUUCCCUUUUACUGUGGGCCAGCUAUUCUGUGUUAGAGCUCACCGGAAUAAAUGCUUGGUGCCCCUAAGAAGCCAUGUUCAUGCUCUUUUGUGAUAUACUCCCCAAUCAAAAUUGGAGGCCUGCCUGUAUCUGCUGUUGACUACAGGCUAUCUUGCAUGAGUAUCAUUCCUGCCUUUUGAACAGGAGCUAGUCUAGCGCAAUAGUCAUUUGCCAUAGGGGAAUUCCAUUACCUUUCCUUACCAGGAGGAUGGAUUCUGUCUGGUGUUUACACUGAAGAUGGGGGAAAUUUAAUUAAAUUCUUUCAAGUGCUAGAUUUACUUACACUAUCAAUUUACUGCUAAAACCGCCAUUCUCAUUUUGGAGAAUGAGAAUAGGACCAUAUGUCUUAAACUUAUCAACUGUCAGCACUUCCAGUAAUAGUUUUCUGCUUAGAAUCAAAGAAAGAUUUGGGUUUUUGAGUUCCCAAAGCCCUCUAGUUAGAACCUUGUGGACCUCAUGAUUUGGAACUGAAUUUACUAUACAUUUUUGCCCACUGGAAUGAGUUUUGCAAUAAAUCUAGUAUCUUAUUUGGAAAAUGUCUUGGGGUAAAGUUUGGCAGCUUCUUCAAAGAGUAGUUCAUUCCUCCCAUAAUUGCCUGGUGAAGACUAUGCAGAAAUUAGAUUAAACAACACCACUGCCAAUAAAUCAUCCAGGUGUUUGGCCAAAUAACAAAAUACUGGACUAUGGGGAAAGCUAGUGAAAGCUAGGAUAAGUACACACAAUAAUUGGCAUAAAAAUAAAUCAGUAUAAAGAGAAACAGGGUAAAAAUUUCAGAUGCCAGAGAUAAGGCAUUCUUAAUCCUGUCCAAAAAUUGAUAUUAUGGGAAAACUCCCCUUGAGUUUCAGUUUAGUUCACUAUUUGAAGGUGGAAAAGAAAUACAUAUGGAUUUGGUUGGGAAUUUGUUUACAAAAUGUUUGACACUUGGAUAAAAGCUGAAAAAAAUCUAUCAAAAAUCUAAUGGGACAUGAAACCUGUUCUCAAGUAGCUUAUAACAUAGUUGAAAAGAUAAGACUUCCACACUUGGCAUCAUUAAAGCUUGCAAUGAUGAGUGAAAUGCAUAUAACUUAGUGUAAACCUGCAUGAUACAGACACGCAUCAAAAGCUAUGGAAAUUCAGGAAAAGAAUCAAAGGAUUAAUGAGGAGCUCAAGUCUUAGGAAAAGCUUCAUGAGGUAUGUGUGAUUUAUGUAGACUCAGAGGCUAGGCACAGUUUGGCUGCACAGAAGGGAGAGAGAAUGAGAUAUUCUGAUUGAAAAGGGGGAAGAAAAAGAGCAAAAGCAUGAGAGAUGGAAUGAAAUUGGUGGGCAGAAGGCAAAGAAAAGGUCAGACUACCUAGGGUAGAGUAUGUGACAAGGCUGGCAUGGCUGGGUAGACUCAGACUUGGCAAUGCAGGCUUUAGAAGUUAGUUUGAGUUCCAGAGGCAAAGAGCCAUCAGGAUCCAUUGAGCAGCAUAGUGACAUGAUGAAUGCAGUGUUAUGGGAAAAUUAGACCAGGAUUUAUGGGAUUACCUAUGGCCAUCCAGAUGGCAAACACACCAGUUGCAAAGAUUCUUACUUGCCGGUACAAUGAAUGUGAAGGGAAAGAGGCUGAAGGCUGGCAUGAAAUCAGGCUAUGAUGGAGGCUCAGAUCAACCAGAAUGAAUUCAGAUGGAGGGUACAGAUAGUUUCCACUGGCAUAUGAGAGAGGUGAGAUGAAAUAUUCUGAUAUAGAGUACCCAAAAGAAACUAAGAGGGUAAAAGAAACUAAGGAGAAUUAGAGAGCUGGAAUAGUGAAGGUCCAUUAUUAUCUAGCCCCUGCCUCUGACUCCAACUUAAUUUUCUUUUUUUUAAUUUUAUUAUUAUUAUACUUUAAGGUUUAGGGUACAUGUGUACAAUGUGCAGGUUUGUUACAUAUGUAUACAUGUGCCAUGUUGGUGUGCUGCACCCAUUAACUCGUCAUUUAGCAUGAGGUAUAUCUCCUAAUGUUAUCCCUCCCCCUCCCCCUACCUCACAACAGUCCCCGGUGUGUGAUGUUCCCCUUCCUGUGUCCAUGUGUUCUCAUUGUUCAAUGCCUUCCUAUGAGUGAGAACAUGCAGUGUUUGGUUUUUUGUUCUUGCGAUAGUUUGCUGAGAAUGAUGGUUUCCAGCUUCAUCCAUGUCCCUACAAAGGACAUGAGCUCAUAAUUUUUUAUGGCUGCAUAGUAUUCCGUGGUGUAUAUGUGCCACAUUGUCUUAAUUCAGUCUAUUAUUGUUCGACAUUUGGGUUGGUUGCAAGUCAUUGCUAUUGUGAAUACUGCCGCAAUAAACAUACGUGUGUGUGUGUCUUUAUAGCAGCAUGAUUUGUAAUCCUUUGGGUAUAUACCCAGUAAUGGGAUGGCUGGGUCAAAUGGUAUUUCUAGUUCUAGAUCCCUGAGGAAUCACCGCACUGACUUCCACAAUGGUUGAACUAGUUUACAGUCCCACCAACAGUGUAAAGGUGUUCCUAUUUCCCCACAUCCUCUCCAGCACCUGUUGUUUCCUGACUUUUUAAUGAUCAC
rnacentral:lncRNA from 1 species